rnacentral:rRNA from 1 species
CGUGUAGGCGGUAUUGUAAGUCAGAUGUAAAAGGCUAUGGCUUAACCGUAGAUUGUCAUUUGAAACUACAGUACUUGAGUGCGAGAGAGGGUAGUGGAAUUCCCAGUGUAGCGGUGAAAUGCGUAGAUAUUGGGAAGAACACCAGUAGCGAAGGCGGCUACCUGGCUCGUAACUGACGCUAAUGCGCGAAAGCGUGGGGAGCGAACA